UACGUAGGUGGCGAGCGUUGUUCGGAGUUACUGGGCGUAAAGGGCGCGUAGGCGGCGAUCCAAGUUAGGCGUGAAAGCCCCGGGCUUAACCUGGGAAUUGCGCUUAAGACUGGACUGCUUGAGUGCGGGAGAGGUGAGUGGAAUUCCCAGUGUAGAGGUGAAAUUCGUAGAUAUUGGGAAGAACACCAGUGGCGAAGGCGGCUCACUGGCCCGCAACUGACGCUGAGGCGCGAAAGCGUGGGGAGCAAACAGG
rnacentral:rRNA from 1 species